AAUACAAAUUUAGAUCUCCUCUUUUCGCUUAACCUAAAAUGCAUUUUCAUACGGUGUCAGCCGUCAUAAGCUAAAGAAAAGCAGAUCUAGCCUAGCUCGCCUUUUGGUUGUUCAUUGAUAUGCCAAAUAUUAAAGAUUUCUAAUAGAAAUUGCAUAGAUGAUGCAUUCAAGUGAAGACAAAAACAAUGUGGACAUCAAAAGAAGACAACACUCGAACAACUACUGUUGAAGGAGUAGCUGAAUGAAGUAUUUGGCAAAUUAGUGACAUAUAAUCUAGGCAAACACUAUAGAAGCAGGGAGGGGUGCGUUGAAGGAUAGGAAGAAGUGGAGAAUCACACUACCACUUGUGGAACUUGUUUCCCUCGGGAAGUCGUUUUUUUUAAAAAAGAAACUUGUGUUUCUAAAGAAAAUAUUUUAAAAUUGAACCAAAUAUGAAAAAUUAUGUGAUUACAUCCUGAGCUUGCACUUCAGGUACUUUGUUUAACAUGAAACCAUUAGAUUAUAAUUAGGGUUUGUCUUGAAUCUUUUAAUUUAUCAUUAACUCCAUAA